UACGUAGGGACCGAGCGUUGUCCGGAAUUAUUGGGCGUAAAGAGCUCGUAGGCGGUGUGUCGCGUCGGCCGUGAAAACCUGCAGCUUAACUGUGGGCUUGCGGUCGAUACGGGCAUCACUGGAGUUCGGCAGGGGAGACUGGAAUUCCUGGUGUAGCGGUGAAAUGCGCAGAUAUCAGGAGGAACACCGGUGGCGAAGGCGGGUCUCUGGGCCGAUACUGACGCUGAGGAGCGAAAGCGUGGGGAGCAAACAGG
rnacentral:rRNA from 1 species